UACGUAAGGGGGCAAGCGUUGUCCGGAUUUAUUGGGCAUAAAGAGCGUGUAGGCGGUUAGGUAGGUCCGUUGUGAAAACUCGAGGCUCAACCUCGAGACGCCGAUGGAAACCAUCUGACUAGAGUCCGGAAGAGGAGAGUGGAAUUCCUGGUGUAGCGGUGAAAUGCGCAGAUAUCAGGAGGAACACCAAUGGCGAAGGCAGCUCGCUGGGACGUGACUGACGCUGAGACGCGAAAGCGUGGGGAGCAAACAGG
rnacentral:rRNA from 1 species